rnacentral:misc_RNA from 1 species
UUCUCUGUUUCUCUCUCACACCUACCGAUACACGCAUUUGCUUCGUCACGACGCUCCAUCGCCCACACCUCGAGCUGUUUCGUUGCCCUUCUCAGUGGCGUCCCCGCCGUUCUUUCCCUGUCGCUCCAUUAGCCCGUCAUGCCGUUCGCUGUUCAGCCGCUGCCGUACCCCCACGAUGCGCUCGCGUCGAAGGGCAUGUCGAAGGAGCAGGUCACCUUCCACCACGAGAAGCACCACAAGGGGUACGCCGUGAAGCUGAACGCUGCCGCGGAGUCAAACUCGGGUCUUGCGUCGAAGUCGCUGGUGGACAUCAUCAAGUCUGAGAAGGGCCCCGCCUUCAACUGUGCGGCGCAGAUUUUCAACCACGACUUCUUCUGGCGCUGCCUGUCGCCGAGAGGCGGGUCGAAGCCGCACGGAGAGAUCGCGAGUGCGAUCGUCGACAGUUUUGGCAGCUUCGCGAGCUUCAAGAAGGAAUUCACGGAUGCGGCCAACGGCCACUUUGGCUCCGGCUGGGCGUGGCUCGUGAAGGACAAGUCGAGUGGCAAGCUGAAGGUGCUCCAAACGCACGACGCGGGCUGCCCGCUCACGGAGCCCAACCUCGUGCCGAUCUUGACGUGCGAUAUAUGGGAGCACGCGUACUAUAUCGACUACAGGAACGACCGCGCGUCCUACGUGAACGCAUUUUGGAACAUGGUAAAUUGGUCGCACGCCAACCGCUGCUACAGGGCUGCUGGUGGCUCCCACUACGUCAACAGUGAUCUGUAAAAGGAAUGGAAACGGGGGAUCCAUACUCGCGCGUAAAUUCGGUAGCUCAUAGUGAAGCUCGAGUCGCCAUCGCCUCCGUAUAUCUUUUCGUGGUUACUAUUGUGAGACGAGGGCAGUCCAAACAUCCGUUUGCUAGAUGUGCGGACGUGUAUGUGUUCCGUUCGGUGCCAGAGUGCUCGUGUACACACCACCUCGCCAAUCGUUGGGUGCGAGGGAAGAUGUGCCUCAGAAAAGAGAAGUGGCACUCUUGACCAGCAAAUUGGUGUGCACGGCUCACGUGUGUGCUACACAUCUCGACCAUCUUGCCGGUAUUGUCUCCCCCUGAUUGAUUCCCUACAUUUUUCUCCUUUGAGCAGAAGACUGCUGCGCCGCGACACAACGCGAAUGUGGAGAUGACGCGCUCCUCUGUGUAGGCCAAGCGAAAGGGACACAGGAAGGCAGGGCCUUGUGGAGGACAGGCUUCAUUCAAUUUCACUCUCUGUACUGCGGCACUUCUUGGACUGGCAUGAUCGGCCCCGUCUGCUCUGUUGCCGGGCUGAUAUAUAUCCCGCAUCUAUGUCGGGUGAUGCUUGACUGUCGGUAUACAGGGAGCAACAAACAGCGAAGAAAACUUACACCGUUACUAUGGCUUCUCUUCGGGCUUAUUUCUCUGUCCAUUUACUGUCUUCUCCUCUCUGCUCCCCGUCUUUUUUUUUCUUCCUUUUCUGGGUUGUGCCUUCCCUGUGCCUUCCUCUGUCUCUCUCUCUGCGUCUCUGUAUCUGUCUGUGUGUGUCUGUCUCUCUGUGCGUGUGUUUGUCCCUCAGCUCACUUUGGUAACCGCACUCAAUAUGCUGGUGCGCUGUGGGAUGUGGAGGAGGCAGAGGUGUGGUGUGGAUGGUCGUGGUGUAAGGUAACGAAAGAUGAUGGAUGCAUGUUGUAGAUUCGUCUUAUUUUCCAUGUACAUCUAUAUAUAUAUAUAUAUUUAUGAUUUUUUUAUACUUCAGUAGGUGACCGUGAUCUGAUUGUGUUUUCACUGCUGUACAUGUGUGUGUGUGUGUGUGCUUAUUUGUGUGUUAGCGUUUUUGCUUUUUUUUCUGUGCAGCGAGGAGGGAGUCGGGAGACAGGGUGGCUGGUCAUGACGCGAUAGUUAGGCGCAUUCCUUCUGUAAAAGCGAACAAGCGACACAAAAUGCGACAGGAAAAAAACAAGAGGGCUUGAGGAAGUGGUGCUACUACACAACGAGGCAGCGAGCAUGGGAGUUCAAGUACCCUAGAUGCACAUCAGUGAGAAUGUCGGAGGUACUGACCGUCGCGUGGUCACGUGUCUCAGCCAGGCCCUUUCUCUCACCGAGAGUAAGCGCACGAAGAAUGCUCAUCGCCCACUCCUCCCGUUUCGAAUUGUUUUGUUCUCUGCAGCGAC